AACUCGUGAUGAGGACACUCUCUGAGGGUAUCACUGAACCGUUCCCACACUUCGUUGAAAGGUUUAUUAGCGAGUUGCUUGAAGGAGGAGAUCUUGUUCCUUAGGGC
rnacentral:snoRNA from 1 species